CUACAUGUAUUUAUAUUUAGUUGGGCAUAGAAGCAGGAUAGCUUUUGCUUUUGAGAUAUGUUGUAUUUAAACAUAUUUUCAUGAGCACUGUGCCAAUCAGUUAAAAUUCACUGACUUGUUAGGCUUGUCCUUUGAAAUUGGAAGUGUUGCCACUAUUUAUUGGUGCCAGAGGACAUGAGGUAAGUGAUAAACACAAGGCAUAAAGCUCAGGCUGAGUAAGAGAUGUUGUGUAGUUGGUUGUCUAAUAGAGGUAUUUAAGUGACAAAUGAGUCAUCCUUGUCUUUUGGGGGGAACAUUUCUGUCAAGCCCCUCCUGAAGAAAAUAAGUUGGGCAUAAACAUGGCUCGUAGGUGCCUGGUUGCCUGCUUUUUUAGCACAGCCAGUCAAGGAUUUGUGAAAUGAUUCACCCUCACUCUCUGACAUCAGUAUUCAGAUAUUUUUUGUAGUGUAAGUGAGAAUUCUCAGCCAUAAGUGGCUUGUGGCACAGCCUGGAUUUGAACUAACUGCAGGACAUACUCUGUAUUGUAAAUAUUUUGUAGGCCUUUACUAGAUAAGCCAGUACAAGCUCCCCGAGUUCUUUUGUUUUUAAUUGGUGCUUGUGUCUGAUUGAGGGUAUGUUGAAAUAAGUUUUUUUUUCUUCUCUGAGGAUUCAAGAGCAGCAACAUUGAUUAAACCAAUAUAGUGUCUUAUAUUGGUGGUUUCCUUUUUUCUUGUGGCUUACUGUUUAAUAAUGCUUUCCCAUCCAGGUACUGACCAAGCUCCCGCCUGCUUAGUUUCAGUUGUGAGUUGCAGGGUGACAAGGCUGCUGGUUAUUUAGUUAAUAGUUUUUUCUGACUGUCAUUGUCAAAUGAUGAAUAGUGACAUGUUGAAAUAAGCUUUAAAUUUAGUUUUAAGUUACAGUGUACUAAAAAAAAUGUAAACGAAGUGUAGCAAUUAAAUUAAUGUCUUUAUCGUACUCUUUUCCGCUGGAGCCCUGCAGAGCGAGCCAGUGUUACCACGACAACUUGCCACGCCCCUACUGGCGUGUCAUUCUUCGUCGUUGCCAUGGAUGCAUGUGAGACAGGAAGUCUGUUCCAGCUGUAGCUACAGCUGCAUAGCUAGGAACACAUUACUUAAAGUGUGUUGCGAGACUGCUCUGGGCUCUGUUAAAAGUUUUUGCGCAGAGCCACAGCUCAGUCUCUAGCUUUGCAUCCCUUUCGCGGCGGUUCUCUUGAACAGUUGAAUUUGGACUCCCUCGAUGCUUCCCUACACUGUCUACCCGGUUUCGAACUUUGUUUUGUCCCCGUCUACAGCGCUGGGCCAUGUUUGCCUGUACCCCUGCUUACACCUGGGUUCACUUCACGACACACGGACUACUGCUUUACUCAGGUACGACCCGGCGGUAUUACAGUAUAAAUUAACAGAUCCCCCCGACAACUGUCACAACAAACAUUUAAGUGUUUAUGUCGGCACACCAGCGCCCGUUUGUGUUUAUGAAGCUGCUGCGUUUAUUUUCCAAUCAAUGCGUUACGGCGCUAAUGUGACUUGGCAGGUUUUUGCCAGAUUUUAUGUCAGUUCUAAGACACGCACAAUAAAAUGCAGACGUCUGAGAAACCUCUCUGCCGCCGUUUCUUGUUUUCCGCGGCAUAGCAUUAACUAACACAGUUGCAGCUGCAGCUAGAACAAACGGAACAGGCUUCCUGUCUUAUGUAUCCACGGCAACCGACGCUGACUAACAGGUGAGAAGGGGCGGGGCCAGCUGCCAUGGUAAUGCCAGGUCUCUCCCAGCGCUUCAGGAUCUGGCAAACAAGGAUUGCAGCUACCCACCAUUGCUACAGAACAUUUUGAGACUGGCUUAUUUUGGCAUCUACUGAGAACUGAGCCCGGGUGAUUACAUGGGGAAAGAGUGAGCCGUGAUGGAAAGUGACCAAAACAAAGACCUCUGGAGGGUGCUGGAUAGUACUUUUAAGGGCAAAGGUACUAAACUAAAACCCUGUAGUAUAGUAGUCAUGGUGGGGCAGCUGGAGUAGAUAACCUCCACUCCAGUCAAGAUGUGCCAGGAGAUGGGAGGAAAAAAGGGACUACUGGAGCAGAAGCAGGAACAAGUGUGCACACCCUUAGGGAGAGCAUAGACCGCCAUGCUGGCCCCAUGGGAAACGUCACAAAUGACUUUGGAAAAACGGGCUGUACUGUAGGAGAGCUCAGUGAGCUACUGGAAGCUGUGAUGGAGGUACGGUGGCAGCAGUUGGAGCAACAGAGAUGACAAGCAGAACAGAGGGAGCAACAUUUUCUCUCAGAAAAUUAAAAGGACUAAGGAAGAAUAAAUUAAACCUUUUCAAAUAGAAUAGGCUAUGGUUUAUUUUUAGUUGUUAUUCAGUAUCCUCUGCUUCCAAAAAGUUUAACAGCUCAUCAUUGUAUCAGUAGGAGUUAAAUAAAUUUGUCUAGAAGCAAUAAGAUCACUGCAACUAUUUACCAAUGGAGCGAGGUGAUAUGCAUCUCAUUAUCGUCACCAGGCUUUCAUACUAGAAACAAAAAAUUCCAGAACAUCAAUAUAAAGCAGCGUCAGAGGAGUAGUUUAAAUUGCAUCUUUCAUUCCUGUCAGUUUCAGAAAGGUGCCCUUUAGUAUUUGUGUUUGAUGUAAGAAACAGGAGAAAAAAAACAACAACUUUGUAUGCAUUUGUCUCCAUAGAGUCAAAUGUUCACAUCACAGAUCACAUAACCUUCAGUGAUAAAUUAAUGUCUAUUCAAGCUAUUUUUAAAAGUGUCUUCGUCAAUUGUCCUUUCACUUCCUACAAGGGCCAUGAACACAUUAUGCUCAUUGCAACUGAACACUUAGGAUAUGGGCUAUGACUAAUAAUGUGGAAACAAUGAAACGGGUGACAUUAAUUUCAAAAGGGACUACGUCUCAUAGAGCUGCAAUCACCCAGACAACUACUGUAUUCUGGUCAGCCAAUUUUGCUAUAUAUGCUUACAGCAUGCCUUUGAGUCUUAGUAAAACCCACAUCAAAAGGGAAAAAAACAAAUACUAUUAUUGUUAGUGUUGUGUUCUGUGUGUAUUGGACCUUCCUUGGGGAUCUUCCUUGAAAUUCACUUGCUAGGGUUCAAAUAUGGAUUUCAGUAUUUUCUGCUAUGGUCACAGGUGUAAAUAUGUUGUUAAGGAAUGGAGAUUGAGACCUAUUUAGCCUACUCAUCACAUCAGGGCAAUCUAAGUCAGCACAACUUGCCUAAAACAUCAAAUUAGCUCAUAUUUAGAAAGAUCAGAGUUGUCAAUUUUAUUGUACUUAAUGCAUUGACCUUCCUCCUACUUGUGUGAACUUUACAUUGAGAAUUUGCAGUUUAUGCUGCAAAUACAAAUCAGGUCAGAGUUCAUAUUGUUUGUUUUGCUUCUUCAGAGAUAUAGACCAAUUACCUCUUGCCUGGCUUUCCCAAGCAUUUUACUUUUUUAUCCUCCUUAGAAAUGGUUUUCAAACUUGGAUUCUUUGUACACUUAAUACAUUUGACUGAUGAAACAAAACAGUAUGAAAGUUCCAGCAACGAUACUGUGUUCUACCAGCCCUCUAUUUAUGCAAUUGAUAAUUGGUAGGGUCAAUAUAACAACUAAGUUGUUAGUUACAUUAAAUACUGUAAUAGGUUGGAUUGGAAGGGCUAGGGGUUAAGUAUCCCUGCUGCAGUGUAUAGUGUAAAAAUAAACAAGAAUUUGUGUUCAAAUCAUUCAUUAAGAAAAUAAAUUACAGCAUAUGCACAUGCAUAGAGAGGUGGCAAUCAUUAGCAUUCAAUUUGCUCUCACUAGGGUCUCUCUGUCUUGGCUAUAGCUCUACAGAAGCUUAGUCAUGUACUGGAUACAGUAAAUCCAUCAACACAUCCACUACUAAUCCAUUUUGUAGCAUAACUGCCCAUUACGGUACAACAGUGGCUUAAUAUUUCAACCACUUCCUGUUAAUAUAUAUUCUCUUCUAAUUAUGUAAUGGCUUUCUAUUUCAUUUACACAGGAAUGUGGUACAAGUUCAUGAAUAUAAAUAAUUACAUCGAGAUUGUGCAGGGAUUCAAACUGUUAAAGUAAAAUGUACCUUAAUUUAUUAAUUCUAUUACACUAGUAUUGCAUUCAAUGUAGACAGUGAAGGCCUGUAUUGUUGUUGCUGUCUUGACUGUGCAGUUUUACUGAUAGUUUCCAAUGCACUGAAUAAUGUAAUUUAAUGCUAGUUAUUUAAAGAGUGUAUGUAUAAUGAUUUAGAAUUGAACGCUACAUAUAAAAAUAAUA